AUCAAUAAAGAAAAAGGUUUGCUAAUAAUAAUUCUUUUAAGGACUGAAAUGUACCAGAUGAAAUAUAAAGUUAGAUGAUAAAAUAACGUGUGAGGUGAGUAGUCACGUGACAGCGAUUGAUAGAGGGCUCUGCCACGCCAAUAAUCUCUUCCCCGAUUCCUUAAACAAAAGCCUGGCUGUGAGUUCGCCACCCACUAAAAGAUCCGAACGCACCACCCCACUAAACACCUACCGGAGUAAUACCGUGUCGCUCUAAUUCUUCUCUACCGCCGC
rnacentral:lncRNA from 1 species